UACAGGGGGGGCAAGCGUUGUUCGGAAUUACUGGGCGUAAAGGGCUCGUAGGUGGCCAACUAAGUCAGACGUGAAAUCCCUCAGCUUAACUGGGGAACUGCGUCUGAUACUGGAUGGCUUGAGUUUGGGAGAGGGAUGCGGAAUUCCAGGUGUAGCGGUGAAAUGCGUAGAUAUCAGGAGGAACACCGGUGGCGAAGGCGGCAUCCUGGACCGGCAUUGACGCUGAGGCGCGAAAGCCAGGGGAGCAAACGGGG
rnacentral:rRNA from 1 species